GGGAGGUGGAGGGAGGAGGUAGGGAAACAGCUGUGGAAAGUGAUGUCAUUUGACAAGGCUGGGAAGGAGCAGCUUGGUGAGAGAACUGGCCUCUCACCCCGGUGCAGAGCUCUCCCAUGCGCUCGCCUGCAUGAAAAGCCGGGAGGAGUGAUCGUGCUGUUGCUCAGGGGCGGGCUUCAGCUCCGAGUGGGAAGCGACUUGCCUGGUUCCCACAGAGAAGAGGACCUGGUCAUGUGCCUUGAAGUGUGGCCAGAGGGAUCGCAGGAGAAAGCAGAGGAUUGUACCAACACACUCUCCUGUCAACUUGCAGAGGGGUUCCCUUUUUCCAGCUGCUUAUCAGACUUGCAAGAUUUUGCCCAUCUGAUCAGCGUGAGAACAAGUCUCCGCUGUUGCCAUGUGUUUCCCUGAUCACCAGCGACGGCCUCUCCAGUUUGUACCCCUUUAGCAGCUGGACCUGGGUGAAGGCCAGUGUGGGCAGAACUGGCUUCACAAAACCCUAGCUAACCCUGUGGAGGCGAGGCGGCCUGGCAUCUGGUUUAGGAAUGCGGGAACAUUCAGCAACUAUGUCCGGUUCUCGGUCUCUGGUGCCUCAGCUGAAGCUGAGAUGGAGAAAGUUCCAUUUUAAUAUCCUGUUACACAUUUUCCUAGAGCAUUACUUAUUUUGUCAUUUUAAAAUUUAUUGGCAUCGCAUUGGUCAUAGUAUUCUCUUAAGAGUUUAAAAAUCUCUACCGUAUCUAUAGUAAUAUCCACUUUUUCAUUCUAAAUAUAUGUGCCUUCUCAAUUUCUUUUUUGAUUGAUCUUGCCAGAGCUUUAUUUGUUUUUAGAGAACACUAAAAGUUCUCUCUAUUGUUUCUUUGCAUUCUAUUUAAUUAAUUUAUGCCCCUUUCUUCUGUUUUUACUCUUUAAUUGAGAAAUAAAUCAUACAUACAAAAGAGCACAUAUAAAGUAUGUUUAUGCUUCAGGAAUAAUAAUAAAAUGAACAAU
rnacentral:lncRNA from 1 species